AACAACGCUGGCGGCGUGCCUAACACAUGCAAGUCGUACGAGAAAGUCGGCUUCGGCCGAUGAGUACAGUGGCGCACGGGUGAGUAGCGCGUGGGUAAUCUGCCCCCCGGUCAGGAAUAACCCGCCGAAAGGCGGGCUAAUACCCGAUAAUACUGACGCUCCGCGGAGCGUCUUUCAAAGGAGGCCUCUGUUUACAAGCUUUCGCCGGAGGAUGAGCCCGCGUACCAUUAGCUAGUUGGCAGGGUAAUGGCCUACCAAGGCUGCGAUGGUUAGCUGGUCUGAGAGGAUGGCCAGCCACACUGGAACUGAGACACGGUCCAGACUCCUACGGGAGGCAGCAGUGAGGAAUCUUGCGCAAUGGGGGAAACCCUGACGCAGCAACGCCGCGUGAGUGAGGAAGGCCUUCGGGUCGUAAAGCUCUGUCAGAUGGGAAGAAAUGGGUGGGGGCUAAUAUCGCCCAUCCUUGACGGUACCAUCAGAGGAAGCACCGGCUAACUCCGUG
rnacentral:rRNA from 1 species